rnacentral:rRNA from 1 species
GACGAACGCUGGCGGCGUGCUUAACACAUGCAAGUCGAACGGAAAGGCCCUGCUUUUGUGGGGUGCUCGAGUGGCGAACGGGUGAGUAACACGUGAGUAACCUGCCCUUGACUUUGGGAUAACUUCAGGAAACUGGGGCUAAUACCGGAUAGGAGCUCCUGCUGCAUGGUGGGGGUUGGAAAGUUUCGGCGGUUGGGGAUGGACUCGCGGCUUAUCAGCUUGUUGGUGGGGUAGUGGCUUACCAAGGCUUUGACGGGUAGCCGGCCUGAGAGGGUGACCGGCCACAUUGGGACUGAGAUACGGCCCAGACUCCUACGGGAGGCAGCAGUGGGGAAUAUUGCACAAUGGGCGGAAGCCUGAUGCAGCAACGCCGCGUGCGGGAUGACGGCCUUCGGGUUGUAAACCGCUUUCGCCUGUGACGAAGCGUGAGUGACGGUAAUGGGUAAAGAAGCACCGGCUAACUUCGU